AGUGUCACCGCGGGCUCGCCGAUCGUCGGUCGCGCGUAUUUUUUACUCGAUCAUUGUUUGCAACCAUUGUAUUAAGAAAAUGAUACGAAAAGUCGCUGUUUACAAUAUUGUUAUUGUUAAAUAUGCUGAAUUAUAGUCUAGUAAAAGUAUCCCCGAUCGGCAACAACGUUUAGCAUAACGUGCGGAGUGCUUAGAUAGUAAAAUAAUGAAUUUCACACGCUGCCGCAGUCUUAUGUUUGAAUUGUCGUGAAUUGUAGAAUCGAUUUUUAGAUGUUAUUAAUGAAAUUACUUAGGUGCUUGUGGGUGAUAUUGUUGUAAGAACGAACCUGUUCCUUUUGAAGACCGUUACGUUGACUUUUCGACCGUAGUUGAUCGUGGCGGUCUGGAAAUCGAUAAAGAUAAUAAAAAAUGCAUAUUUUCCCCAUGGUUUCAUAAAGGUUCGGUUCGAUACAGUGCCGGCACGAAUAUCGCAGGCGAAUGCUGCCCAUUUCAAAUUACCAUCUGUAUAUGAUAACUGCAGUGCGAUAUUUUUGAUGUGGUGUUGUGAUAUUAUAUUAUAAAUUGUUUUUGCGAAGGAGACUACAACGAUCGAAAAGAAACAACGUAGUAACGCGAAUGAUUUCAAGGAAAAUAACAUCUAGGACUUCAAGAAUCAAGUUGACGUCAAUAUUAUGUGAUAUCGUGUGUCGUGUGAAGUGUCAGCGACUUGUGUGAUGGCGGCCGUUUUGAAUAUGUUUCGUUUGAGAGCCGGCGUCAUGUUGCUGAGGGCGCUGUUACUGCUGUCGAUAGCGGUCUACUCUUCUUACGGUAAGUUACAACUAAUUAAAGAAGUUUACAAACAGUAAGUAACAAGAAAUAUAAAAUAUAUACCAGUUGAAUUACAAAAACAUGUAUUCAACAGAACUCAAAAAUAUGUAAUACUAACUGUUCAUCGCGAUUUUACACACGUUAAUUUGAACA
rnacentral:misc_RNA from 1 species